rnacentral:rRNA from 1 species
UCGAGAAUCUUCGGCAAUGGACGCAAGUCUGACCGAGCGACGUCGCGUGCGGGAUGAAGGCCCUCGGGUUGUAAACCGCUGUCAGAGGGGAGGAAAUCGCUGGAAGCUAUCUUCCAGUGUUGACCGAGCCUCAGAGGAAGCACGGGCUAAGUUCGUGCCAGCAGCCGCGGUAAUACGAACUGUGCGAACGUUAUUCGGAAUCACUGGGCUUAAGGGUGCGUAGGCGGUUAUCUAAGUAGGGUGUGAAAUGCCCCGGCUCAACCGGGGAACUGCGCUCUAGACUGGAUGGCUUGAGUAAGAUAGAGGUGUGCGGAACUUCCGGUGGAGCGGUGAAAUGUGUUGAUAUCGGAGGGAACACCGUUGGCGAAAGCGGCACACUGGGUCUUAACUGACGCUGAGGCACGAAAGCCAGGGGAGCGAACGGGAUUAGAUACCCCGGUAGUCCUGGCUGUAAACGUUGAAUACUGGUUGGGAGGGGGCUUGCCCCAUCCCGACGUAGCG